rnacentral:rRNA from 1 species
GAUUAAGUUAUUAAGGGCGCACGGUGGAUGCCUUGGCACUAGAAGCCGAUGAAGGACGUUACUAACGACGAUAUGCUUUGGGUAGCUGUAAGUAAGCGUUGAUCCAGAGAUUUCCGAAUGGGGGAACCCAGCAUGAGUUAUGUCAUGUUAUCGACAUGUGAAUUUAUAGCAUGUCAGAAGGCAGACCCGGAGAACUGAAACAUCUUAGUACCCGGAGGAAGAGAAAGAAAAAUCGAUUCCCUGAGUAGCGGCGAGCGAAACGGGAAGAGCCCAAACCAACAAGCUUGCUUGUUGGGGUUGAAGCUU